AUUGAACGCUGGCGGCAUGCUUUACACAUGCAAGUCGAACGGUAACAGGCCUUCGGGUGCUGACGAGUGGCGAACGGGUGAGUAAUGCAUCGGAACGUGCCCAGAGGUGGGGGAUAACGCAGCGAAAGCUGUGCUAAUACCGCAUGUGAUCUGAGGAUGAAAGCGGGGGACCAAGCAGCAAUGUUUGGCCUCGCGCCUCUGGAGCGGCCGAUGUCAGAUUAGGUAGUUGGUGGGGUAAAGGCCUACCAAGCCGACGAUCUGUAGCUGGUCUGAGAGGACGACCAGCCACACUGGGACUGAGACACGGCCCAGACCCCUACGGGAGGCAGCAGUGGGGAAUUUUGGACAAUGGGCGCAAGCCUGAUCCAGCAAUGCCGCGUGCGGGAAGAAGGCCUUCGGGUUGUAAACCGCUUUUGUACGGAACGAAAAGGCUCUGGCUAAUACCUGGGGCUGAUGACGGUACCGUAAGAAUAAGCACCGGCUAACUACGUG
rnacentral:rRNA from 1 species